GAAAAGCAGCAUCAUUGAAGGUGAAAAUCCUGUAGAUGAUAUGGACUACCAGUAUAUUUGUGAUACGGUUUCUAAGAGUCGAGUUGUUUGGGAAUGCAGCUCAAAGUGGGUGGUAAAUUCCAUCUAAGGCUAAAUAUAAGUGAGAGACCGAUAGCAAACAAGUACCGUGAGGGAAAGAUGAAAAGAACUUUGAAAAUAGAGUUAACAGUACGUGAAAUUGCUGAAAGGGAAACGUUUGAAGUUAGUUUUGUAUUCGUUGGAUCAGCUUCGCAAGGAGUGUAUUCUGAUGAUAAGCAAGUCAACAUCAGUCUAUGAGUGUUGGAUAAGGGUUUUGAGAAUGUAGCAAUUUAAUUGUGUUAUAGCUUGAGACUUGGAUACGAUGCUUUGGAUUGAGGAACGCGUAGUAAGCUUUGAGCGGAUUCGAAAGGAUCUCCUUACUAUGGAUGUUGGUGAAAUAACUUUAAGCGACCCGUCUUGAAACACGGACCAAGGAGUCUAACAUGCUUGCGAGUAUUAGGGUGUUGAAACCCGAAUGCGUAAUGAAAGUGAAUCUAAGAUGUGAUCCGCAAGGUGCAACAUCGGCCAGUCUGGAUCAUUUAUGUGAAGGUACUGAGCAAGAGCAAGUAUGUUAGGACCCGAAAGAUGGUGAACUAUGCCUGGAUAGGGUGAAGUCAGAGGAAACUCUGAUGGAAGCUCGUAGCGGUUCUGACGUGCAAAUCGAUCGUAGAAUCUGGGUA
rnacentral:rRNA from 1 species